GACUAAGCGUACACGGUGGAUGCCCUGGCAGUCAGAGGCGAUGAAGGACGUGCUAAUCUGCGAUAAGCGUCGGUAAGGUGAUAUGAACCGUUAUAACCGGCGAUUUCCGAAUGGGGAAACCCAGUGUGAUUCGUCACACUAUCAUUAACUGAAUCCAUAGGUUAAUGAGGCGAACCGGGGGAACUGAAACAUCUAAGUACCCCGAGGAAAAGAAAUCAACCGAGAUUCCCCCAGUAGCGGCGAGCGAACGGGGAGCAGCCCAGAGCCUGAAUCAGUGUGUGUGUUAGUGGAAGCGUCUGGAAAGGCGCGCGAUACAGGGUGACAGCCCCGUACACAAAAAUGCACAUGCUGUGAGCUCGAUGAGUAGGGCGGGACACGUGGUAUCCUGUCUGAAUAUGGGGGGACCAUCCUCCAAGGCUAAAUACUCCUGACUGACCGAUAGUGAACCAGUACCGUGAGGGAAAGGCGAAAAGAACCCCGGCGAGGGGAGUGAAAAGAACCUGAAACCGUGUACGUACAAGCAGUGGGAGCACAGAGCAAUCUGUGUGACUGUGUACCUUUUGUAUAAUGGGUCAGCGACUUAUAUUCUGUAGCAAGGUUAACCGAAUAGGGGAGCCGAAGGGAAACCGAGUCUUAACUGGGCGUUAAGUUGCAGGGUAUAGACCCGAAACCCGGUGAUCUAGCCAUGGGCAGGUUGAAGGUUGGGUAACACUAACUGGAGGACCGAACCGACUAAUGUUGAAAAAUUAGCGGAUGACUUGUGGCUGGGGGUGAAAGGCCAAUCAAACCGGGAGAUAGCUGGUUCUCCCCGAAAGCUAUUUAGGUAGCGCCUCGUGAAUUCAUCUCCGGGGGUAGAGCACUGUUUCGGCAAGGGGGUCAUCCCGACUUACCAACCCGAUGCAAACUACGAAUACCGGAGAAUGUUAUCACGGGAGACACACGGCGGGUGCUAACGUCCGUCGUGAAGAGGGAAACAACCCAGACCGCCAGCUAAGGUCCCAAAGUCAUGGUUAAGUGGGAAACGAUGUGGGAAGGCCCAGACAGCCAGGAUGUUGGCUUAGAAGCAGCCAUCAUUUAAAGAAAGCGUAAUAGCUCACUGGUCGAGUCGGCCUGCGCGGAAGAUGUAACGGGGCUAAACCAUGCACCGAAGCUGCGGCAGCGACGCUUAUGCGUUGUUGGGUAGGGGAGCGUUCUGUAAGCCUGCGAAGGUGUGUCUGUGAGGCAUGCUGGAGGUAUCAGAAGUGCGAAUGCUGACAUAAGUAACGAUAAAGCGGGUGAAAAGCCCGCUCGCCGGAAGACCAAGGGUUCCUGUCCAACGUUAAUCGGGGCAGGGUGAGUCGACCCCUAAGGCGAGGCCGAAAGGCGUAGUCGAUGGGAAACAGGUUAAUAUUCCUGUACUUGGUGUUACUGCGAAGGGGGGACGGAGAAGGCUAUGUUGGCCGGGCGACGGUUGUCCCGGUUUAAGCGUGUAGGCUGGUUUUCCAGGCAAAUCCGGAAAAUCAAGGCUGAGGCGUGAUGACGAGGCACUACGGUGCUGAAGCAACAAAUGCCCUGCUUCCAGGAAAAGCCUCUAAGCAUCAGGUAACAUCAAAUCGUACCCCAAACCGACACAGGUGGUCAGGUAGAGAAUACCAAGGCGCUUGAGAGAACUCGGGUGAAGGAACUAGGCAAAAUGGUGCCGUAACUUCGGGAGAAGGCACGCUGAUAUGUAGGUGAAGUCCCUCGCGGAUGGAGCUGAAAUCAGUCGAAGAUACCAGCUGGCUGCAACUGUUUAUUAAAAACACAGCACUGUGCAAACACGAAAGUGGACGUAUACGGUGUGACGCCUGCCCGGUGCCGGAAGGUUAAUUGAUGGGGUUAGCGCAAGCGAAGCUCUUGAUCGAAGCCCCGGUAAACGGCGGCCGUAACUAUAACGGUCCUAAGGUAGCGAAAUUCCUUGUCGGGUAAGUUCCGACCUGCACGAAUGGCGUAAUGAUGGCCAGGCUGUCUCCACCCGAGACUCAGUGAAAUUGAACUCGCUGUGAAGAUGCAGUGUACCCGCGGCAAGACGGAAAGACCCCGUGAACCUUUACUAUAGCUUGACACUGAACAUUGAGCCUUGAUGUGUAGGAUAGGUGGGAGGCUUUGAAGUGUGGACGCCAGUCUGCAUGGAGUCGACCUUGAAAUACCACCCUUUAAUGUUUGAUGUUCUAACGUUGACCCGUAAUCCGGGUUGCGGACAGUGUCUGGUGGGUAGUUUGACUGGGGCGGUCUCCUCCUAAAGAGUAACGGAGGAGCACGAAGGUUGGCUAAUCCUGGUCGGACAUCAGGAGGUUAGUGCAAUGGCAUAAGCCAGCUUGACUGCGAGCGUGACGGCGCGAGCAGGUGCGAAAGCAGGUCAUAGUGAUCCGGUGGUUCUGAAUGGAAGGGCCAUCGCUCAACGGAUAAAAGGUACUCCGGGGAUAACAGGCUGAUACCGCCCAAGAGUUCAUAUCGACGGCGGUGUUUGGCACCUCGAUGUCGGCUCAUCACAUCCUGGGGCUGAAGUAGGUCCCAAGGGUAUGGCUGUUCGCCAUUUAAAGUGGUACGCGAGCUGGGUUUAGAACGUCGUGAGACAGUUCGGUCCCUAUCUGCCGUGGGCGCUGGAGAAUUGAGGGGGGCUGCUCCUAGUACGAGAGGACCGGAGUGGACGCAUCACUGGUGUUCGGGUUGUCAUGCCAAUGGCACUGCCCGGUAGCUAAAUGCGGAAGAGAUAAGUGCUGAAAGCAUCUAAGCACGAAACUUGCCCCGAGAUGAGUUCUCCCUGACUCCUUGAGAGUCCUGAAGGAACGUUGAAGACGACGACGUUGAUAGGCCGGGUGUGUAAGCGCAGCGAUGCGUUGAGCUAACCGGUACUAAUGAACCGUGAGGCUUAACCUU
rnacentral:rRNA from 1 species